rnacentral:rRNA from 1 species
UAGGGAAUCUUCGGCAAUGGGGGCAACCCUGACCGAGCAACGCCGCGUGAGUGAAGAAGGUUUUCGGAUCGUAAAGCUCUGUUGUAAGUCAAGAACGGGUGUGAGAGUGGAAAGUUCACACUGUGACGGUAGCUUACCAGAAAGGGACGGCUAACUACGUGCCAGCAGCCGCGGUAAUACGUAGGUCCCGAGCGUUGUCCGGAUUUACUGGGCGUAAAGCGAGCGCAGGCGGUUUGAUAAGUCUGAAGUUAAAGGCUGUGGCUCAACCAUAGUUCGCUUUGGAAACUGUCAAACUUGAGUGCAGAAGGGGAGAGUGGAAUUCCAUGUGUAGCGGUGAAAUGCGUAGAUAUAUGGAGGAACACCGGUGGCGAAAGCGGCUCUCUGGUCUGUAACUGACGCUGAGGCUCGAAAGCGUGGGGAGCGAACAGGAUUAGAUACCCUGGUAGUCCACGCCGUAAACGAUGAGUGCUAGGUGUUGGAUCCUUUCCGGGAUUCAGUGCCGCAGCUAACGCAUUAAGCACUCCGCCUGGGGAGUACGACCGCAAGGUUGAAACUCUAAAGUGAAUUGAC